rnacentral:rRNA from 1 species
AGUGAACGCUGGCGGUAGGCCUAACACAUGCAAGUCGAACGGCAGCACAGAGGAGCUUGCUCCUUGGGUGGCGAGUGGCGGACGGGUGAGGAAUACAUCGGAAUCUACUCUGUCGUGGGGGAUAACGUAGGGAAACUUACGCUAAUGCCGCAUACGACCUACGGGUGAAAGCAGGGGACCUUCGGGCCUUGCGCGAUUGAAUGAGCCGAUGUCGGAUUAGCUAGUUGGCGGGGUAAAGGCCCACCAAGGCGGCGAUCCGUAGCUGGUCUGAGAGGAUGAUCAGCCACACUGGAACUGAGACACGGUCCAGACUCCUACGGGAGGCAGCAGUGGGGAAUAUUGGACAAUGGGCGCAAGCCUGAUCCAGCCAUACCGCGUGGGUGAAGAAGGCCUUCGGGUUGUAAAGCCCUUUUGUUGGGAAAGAAAUCCAGCUGGCUAAUACCCGGUUGGGAUGACGGUACCCAAAGAAUAAGCACCGGCUAACUUCGUGCCAGCCGCCGCAGUAA